rnacentral:rRNA from 1 species
GACGUAGGGCGCGAGCGUUGUCCGGAUUUAUUGGGCGUAAAGAGCUCGUAGGCGGCUUGUCGCGUCGAAUGUGGAAUCCUGCGGCUCAACUGCAGGCUUGCAUUCGAUACGGGCAGGCUCGAGUUCGGUAGGGGAGACUGGAAUUCCUGGUGUAGCGGUGAAAUGCGCAGAUAUCAGGAGGAACACCGAUGGCGAAGGCAGGUCUCUGGGCCACUACUGACGCUGAGAAGCGAAAGCAUGGGGAGCGAACAGG